CGACUAAAAAAUUAGAUCUCCCGCAAUAAUCUCUGAAUUCAAUAAAAUCAGGCAAACAAGCAGCGAGAAGGGAUGAUGAUGCAUGAGUGCUUGUCCCAAAGAUGAGAAUUCAUUAAAAGUAAUCCCAGUUCUUACAGAGACUUAGCAAAUGAAAAAUAAAAAAUAAUUAUCCAAGUAAGAGCAAUAAAAUCAAUGACCAAUGUGAAGCCUUAGCUAGAUCUAGUCCUCUUGAUUGUACGUAGCAAAUUCAAUUAGAGUGGAGUGAGAGCAACAAAUCUGCGACGAGGUGGUGGACUGAUGCAUGAAAUGAAUAAGAAUAGAACAGCAAUAAUAACAACAGCUACCCAGUAUAGUCCCACAAAGUGGGCUCUGAGAAGGGUAAUAUGUAGACGAGCCUUACCCCUACCCGAAAGGGCAGAAAGACUGUUUCCAAUAAGAGCUAUAAAAAAUGGACUGACAUCCAAACCGUUGCCUCCAUCCACCUCAGUGCACACCAUCUUUCCCAUUUUCGAAUUGAUCAAAAUAUAGUUCGACAACUGAUGGUUAGAAGGGUAAAAUCGCUUUUUCCAAUCAAAUUAAAGCUACACUACUGCAGUGUGCAGAGCAAGCAAUUCUUUAUAAUUAUGUAGGAGGCUGAAUUUUCAUAUAUUGUAUUCGUCAUUUGUAGACUUUUUUCUUUGUUAAGUUGGAAA
rnacentral:lncRNA from 1 species